GCGGAGGGAUCAUUACACAAUAUGAAAGCGGGCUGGGACCUUACUUCGGUGAGGGCUCCAGCUUGUCUGAAUUAUUCACCCAUGUCUUUUGCGCACUUCUUGUUUCCUGGGCGGGUUCGCCCGCCACCAGGACCAAACCAUAAACCUUUUUGUAAUUGCAAUCAGCGUCAGUAAACAAUGUAAUUAUUACAACUUUCAACAACGGAUCUCUUGGUUCUGGCAUCGAUGAAGAACGCAGCGAAAUGCGAUACGUAGUGUGAAUUGCAGAAUUCAGUGAAUCAUCGAAUCUUUGAACGCACAUUGCGCCCUUUGGUAUUCCAAAGGGCAUGCCUGUUCGAGCGUCAUUUGUACCCUCAAGCUUUGCUUGGUGUUGGGCGUCUUGUCUCUCACGAGACUCGCCUUAAAAUCAUUGGCAGCCGACCUACUGGUUUCGGAGCGCAGCACAAUUCUUGCACUUUGAAUCAGCCUUGGUUGAGCAUCCAUCAAGACCCUAUUUUUUUUAA
rnacentral:rRNA from 1 species